ensembl:lncRNA
CUUAGUUCACCUGGCAGGGAUCAAACCCGCUUCUGCUGUACUGGAAGGCAGAUUCUUAACCACUGGAUGAUCAGGGAAGGCCCAGCAGGCAGAUUCUUUACUGUUGAGCCAUCAGGGAAGCCCCUAUCCUCAACCUUUCAUCAAAAUGCUACUCAGCCAGAAUUUAAAAUCUUUAUCUUCCUCAGGAUAGUUUCUGCCAAGUUGUUCUGCCAUGAAGGUGGAUUUUCCCAUCCACCGCCAAUUUCAUGCACCAGGAAGGAGGGUGGCCACUCUCCCGGAUUUCCAAAAACUUUCUCAGCCCCCCCCCCCCCCCGCCAAUUUCCCUCAUUUAAAACAUCUCCUUUGAGGAUCCAGUGUCCGAGUUCUAUCCCCUUGACCCUUUUCCUUCACUGUUGUCCACCAGCAUGCCUCUCUCUUCCAUUGAAACUUUGAGAUUGAAUCAUAGAGAUUAUGCCCUCCAUUUGAACUCCAGCAUCCUUGCCUGGAAAAUUCCAGGGACAUAGGAGCCUGAUGGGCUACAGUCCAUGGGGUCAUGAAGAGUUGGACACGACUGAGCGUGCACACUACUACUACCUUUAGUUCGAGCUUCCCGGAUGGCGCUAGUGGUUAAGAACCUGCCAGGCAAUGCAGUAGAUAUAAGAGACGCCGGUUCGAUCCCUGGGUCAGAAGCAGGCCCUGAAGGAGGAAAUGGCAACCCACUCCAGUAUUCUUGCUUGGGAAACCCCAUGGACAGAGGAGCCUGGCGGGUUACAGUCCGAGGGAUGGCAAAGAGUCAGAUAUGACUGAAGCAACUUAGCGCUGAGCUGUCAGAGCAUCGUUCUACCCCCAAGUGCUGGAGAAGCCUGCGCUGUGGCAGCCCACGCUUCCGCUGCCCAGACAGGCAUUUCCACUCCCAAUUUGAGCGGGACUGUGAGGAGGAAGCCAGAUCUGGGAGAGCCCCUUGUGCUUUCCAUGGUGUGUGUUCUGCCAGAUGGCAGAUCCCAGGUCACCUUCUCUCUGAAGCAGCCCUGGGACUCCAGGGAGGCAGGAGACUUUUCAGAUAACUCCAGCGCUAUUGAGGUGGGCGCUUCAACUCCCGGACCACAAUGAGAAAAAGAAACUCUUUGUUUCAGGCUUUCCCCAGGGCUCUGGUGGACCGCUGUAUAGUACGACAGCAGGUUUUGAAAAGAGCAAGAAUGUUGCAGCUAAUCAGGGAAUAGUUGUUUAGCAAGUUGAAAACAACCCUUUUCAGUAAUAAAUGAAAUGAUUAAUAAAGAAAAGCCGACGAGUUCCAGGCGGCUCUGAUAAAAAACACGAAUAUGUUACAGUUUUUGGUGAAAGGAACUUGAAAUAGUUUUCACCUGUAAUUUCAGCUGCUUACGAGUCGGCCUUUUCUCUCUCAGCUCAGCAUUAUCUGUGUUGUGUCGGUUAGAUGUGACCUGUGAAGGAGGAUCUUUGCUUUUCAUUUCUGCCAGCUGCAGGAGUUUCUUGCUGGGCAUGGCUUUUGCUUCAUCCCUUUUAACGGUUGACCAGAAAGAUAAGUGCUGGAGGUGAAAGAGGGAAGCAUCUUAUUUAGAAACCAGAAUAAUUGUGCGAGUCCAGUGAAUGGAGAGGCCGGAAUAAAGGUCUGCCUUGAAUGGUCACUACCUGGCUUUUGUUAUCCAGUGACUGGAUGCAGUGAAGGGGGAGCGAAGAAAGAGACACUUUUUCUCCCCUGAAUAUUGAAUUUUUCUCUCAGGCACAAACAGCAGUUCCAAAGAGAAAACAGCUCUUUAAAAUGUCCUAGGCAGAUAACUAAAAAUCUAGAACUCCCAAGUUCUAAUUUUAGCUUCAUUAAUUUGUAAAUGUUAUAGCCAGAAAGGGACCUCUGCGUGCAUGCUCAGUCACUUCAGUCCUGUCUGAUUCUCUGCUGCCCCAUGGACUGUAGCCUGCCCGGCUCCUCUGUCCAUGGGAUUUUCCUGGCAAGAGUACUGGAGUGGGUUGCCAUGUCUUCCUCCAUGGGAUCUUCCCAACCCAGGAACUGAACCUGCAUCUCCUGCAUUGCAGGUGAAUUCUUAACCGCUGAGCCACCAGGGAAAUCCAGAAAGAUACCUAGGGGUACUCACAUAGCUGAACACCUCCAUUUUACAGAUGAGCAAACUGAGGCCCUGGGAGAAUAUAGUGACUUGCUCAAGGCAGUGCAGCUAUGCUCUUUUCAUCCAUUUCAUCUUUGGAUGAUUCUCCUUCCAAAAGCAAACUCAAAUUCUCCAAGAUUCAUCCACUUAGAUGGUAAAAUUCUUUCAUCUCUAUUAAAACACCUAAAGCUUUUAUAGACUAAUUUUUCCAAGAGAUCAGGGCACUUUAUAGUCCUUUUGUCUCAUUUUACAACAUACUAAGUCAGGGACACAGGCUCCAAGGGACAUUUAAUACUCAGAAGGCGCAGAAGGUGUGGUAUGACUUGUUCAAAAUAAAAAGGAAUUGAGAACAUGAGCUGGAGAUGACUUAGAAACUCUAUAUUUAAUAGAAGAGGUGACUUUCUGGAGGAGACCCAGCUAAGAGGAGGCCUUAAAUGUGGGAAAUCAAUAUUAUUAAUCGGACUGUGUGUAGGUUAUCAGAGAUAUGACUAAUUUGAGUCCAUGAAACAUAGAACCAGUGUAUUUUCUUACUCUAAUACUUCUUCCAGGUCUAAUCAAGGCUAAGCCACACCACAUGCAUUUUUGCUUUUAAAUGAUUUCCUCACUGUUUGUACUUAAUUCUUUGGUUUGCCAUCUUGUGUUCCAUAAAGCAACCCAGUCAACUUACAGAUAAAUAAAGGCUGAUCUCUGAUUCUCACCUCUGUCGCUCUAAUGUCCCUACUUCCUUCUGUCUUCAGCUGAACAAGAAACAGGGUCUCCAUAAGUCAUCUGGUCUUUCCCUGGGCUCGGCCAGACGGACAGAAUGUGAGGCCUCCUCUCAGAGACAGACCAUUUGUUGCGUUGCACUUAUCUUCACUAUUCCUUGAUGAACUGCAUUUGUUAACUCUUUCGGUUUUGCUCUGUAUCUUAGUAUUUGACCCUAAAAGCCAAUAUUCUGCUGCUUUUGUUUCCUCUUGACCAUUUUCCUUUGGUCUGAAUGGAAAAUGUCACAGAAUUAAAAACAAUGGGGAUUGGAGCAAAACAUCAGUUGUAGGAACUGGAAGAUUUAUAAUCUUAGGUAGAAAUUCAUAGGAAAACCUUGCUGCAGAAAAAAAACAAACCAACUCCAGAAUAAUCCCAGAAAAUCAUGCAGUUAUUUGAGAUCUGUGAGACUGUAGCAGUGUGUGUGGGCAAGACACUUGAAGAGAAGGCUGUUGACCAGAUCUGAGUGAUGGCUAAUCCUUCGUUUUUGACUUCAAUUUUAUAUCCUCUGGCAUACAUGACACAGUGGUAAAAUGCUGGUAGUGGUUUUUGUUGAGGGAGCAGUUUUGGCUUCUUGCUUCAUUCUUACAUGAAAAGGUUAUUUUUCUACCACUAGAGGAGAGAAUACAUAGAUGGUAUUCUCUGUUUUAUUUUCAGUAGUAUAUCUGUGAUCUUUCCAAAUGAGUCAUGAAAAAUAUUAACAUUAUGGGGUGGGGGAAUUUUCUUCUUUCCAUUUUUCAAGAGUUUUUAAGUAGCAAUGGCUCCCAGGUCUAUAGUGUGACUUUGGGUAGAUAAUUACUAUAAAAUACUGCAGACCUUUUUUUUUUUCCCCUGUAGGGUGAUUGAUUUUAACCUUUCUCCCCUGCCAAACCUCUGUUCCGUGCAUGACAUUUCAACCCCCACCACUUCCUAUGUUCUCUUUUGCCGAAGAAAAUUGCAUUUUCUAUUUCUGGAUAAAGCAUGGUUGUUUGUGUCAGUCAAUUUAACACAAUACACCACUUCUUAUUUGUGCAGAGGAAGCAGUAAUAAGAUUCCAGCAGGAGAUGGGUCCUGAGCCCAUGGCCAAGCCUCCCAUUGGGCCCGGAAGACAGAAGCCACAGUAAUCCAUUGCCGACAAGGCUGCUUAGUGAUGAUGUAGCGCCUUCUUGUCUCGGAGACCUCCAGGCAAAUUCUUUUACCGACUGCCUUUUCUGAGGAAACCUCCAAUAAGACUCCACCCUAGACUUUCCUUCUCUCUGUCCUCUGCCUCCUAACAGAAACCCAGCACUGCCACCCGAGACCCUGCGUGGUACACAGGGCUUCCUGUUUCGGGGACUCGUAAGUAUAUUCAGCUCAGUUUUCGUGAGCCUCUCCUGACUGACCGUCACAUAAAAAGCAAAGAACAGAAACGGACUUGACAAGCGAUUGUCAUAUGGUCUGAAAUAUGCUGUAAUGAAAGUAUAGAAAUGAACCAAAAAAGCACAGGUAGGGAACCCCUGCACCUAACGGGGGGGAUCCAGAAAUGAUAAAGCAAAGGAAAGCUGAGCAUUGAAGGUUGAGGAGGAGGGUGUGUCAGGCCUGAGAUAACCACACAGAGAGAAGAGCGUACCCCACAGCAUGGAUGUACACACACGGACAACAUGUUUCAGGAGGAAUGGGAUAAGGUGGGCUGGGAGAGGGACGGUUCAGGCAGUGGAUGAAACUGGAAACGUAGGUAGGGGCUAGAUCUCAGAGGAUCUCUGAAGCCACUCUGCUGCAGUGUGAGAAGCCAUCGCAGGGAGGAGAUGUGAACUGGAGGAUGUCAUGGAGGUGGGCUGUGUCGGCCAGUGGGGAGGUACGAGGGCCUGAACUGAGGAGGGCACCCUCCAGGCAAGGAGGGCUCAGACCUCCCAGAUGGGUGGCGCAUGGACUAGAUGGAACCAAGUCAGUGAUUGGGUGUGGGGGAGGGAAGAAAGCAGCUGAAAACAUCUGAGCUUUAGCCUACGUGAUGGAUGCACGUAGCAGCUGUUACCAACCUUUUCAAAGCCAGGGACUGGUUUCUCAGAAGACAAUUUUUCCAUGGCCCAGGGUGGGGGGAGAUGAUUCAAGCGUGUUACAUUUAUUGUGUACUUUAUUUCUAUUAUUACAUCAGCUCCACCUCAGAUCAUUAGGCAUUAGAUUCCCGAGGUUGGGGACCCCUGCAGAUAGGGGGUCCCAGAAAAGAGAACAAUUUUGGGAUGAAGCGCUUCCCUCCUGUUUGUGUAACAGCAUCAUUCCCCUGCCUGUCGGGUCAAGUGAGGCUUUUUUUUUUUUUUUUUGGUCUCACAGCUGUAAAUAUUUCAUGCCAGUGGCCGUGUUUCUGUUUUAUUUUGGGAAUAGCACUUUAGCUGGUGUUUCAGUUUAAAUGACUCAGGAACUGACGGGCCAUUUUUGUCUUCCGGGGAAUGUUUGGUGCCGAAGAUGGUAGACAGUUGGGUGUGGGUGAGGACAGAUAGCGCCUGAGGUCUUGCAGCUUAGAAGUAACAUCUUGUCGUUUGAGGAUAACACUGCCAAAGGUGUGUGGGUGUAUCUUUGAAGAAACAAAACAAAAAAAGCAUGACCGGCAAUCUGAUCUAUGCUAGGUGUCUAUAAAAAUCAUUCUUUUAUUUAUUGCCUUGCGUCCUAUGGAGCUGCCUUACUGGCUUCCCAGAUGGGCCCUCUGUUCAAGUAAACCACCUCGCCGCUCUCACGUGCUGGGGGGUCAACUUCUCAGUCAGUGGGGUUGUAGGGAGGGGUUUGGAGCCACUCUCCUGGUGGUGGUGGUGGUUCAAUCGCCUAGUUGUAUCCGGCUCUUGUGAUCCUGUGGGCUGUAGCCUGCCAGGCUCCUCUGUCCAUGGAAUUCUCGGGGCAAAAAUACUGGAGUGGAUUGCCAUUUCCUUUUCUGGGGGAUCUUCCUGACUCAGGGAUCAAAACCAUGUCUCCUGUAUUACAUGUGAAUUCUUUACUACUGAGCCACCUGGGAAGCCCCUUACUGUCCUGCGAUACCGAUUCAUUUAAAAUGGGCUUUUUUUGGCUUCCUCUCUUCUCCAUCCUUGGCAGCACCUAGUAACCACCCCCUCCCAGGGCUGAGGAAUGUGCAGAAAUCCCCUGGUUCGUGUUUCCCAGCAGAAUCAUUUCAGAAUAGAGGGGCUGCACACAGGCCAGGCUAUGCUCUCCCCUGACUGCUCUGAAUGUUGAAACAAUGUCACUGAGAAGAUGGAUUUAGAAGAGGGUUCCUUUCUAAUCAUAGUGGGAACCUAUCCAACUCUUUGAGGAGGUUUGCUGUGGUGUCUGGGGAAUCUUCUUGACAACACACCUUUCCAUCGUUUAAAGUUUCCACUUUUUAAAGCACCUAGGAUCCAGGCCAUUGUAUCAUUUCCUCCGACUACAGUGACUUGUGUUGGGUGCAUUUACUGAGCCCCACCACAUGCCAGGCCCCAUGCUGAGCACUUCACAUAGAUCAUCUGAACUCAGCUUCCC